GUUCAACUUUAAAAGCAGGAACUAUUUAACUAAGGAAUGGUGAGAUAAGCUCACUUGUUGGUUCUUUUGAGUAUUCCUCAGAUGGUUAAGCGUACUACAAGACUCUAAUAUUAAAGAUUUCUCGAAGAUAGAGAACCUCUCUAAAGCUUUCAAGACAGUAUGUCUGAGUGCACCACAACAUAAAAUCUAUAAGCCAUCUGCUCCUGCUAAUAUCCCACUGAAAAUGAAGAACGUAUUCAGCUGCUUCUUCUAUGCAGUCCAUGUAAGAAGCACAGUGUCAGCUGCUUUGCCUGAACUACUGCGUUUGGUGUUUGGAGACCACCCACAUUCUUUGGUUAAUAUGAUGGGAAUUUGCUGGGCAUAUGGCCGCUAGGCUAUCAACUCAGAGGUGGGAUUUAUAUGAAGAGAUACACGAGGAAUGCUUUUCUAAAUUAGCAGUGGGUUUAUUAUUAGACGGGAAUAUCCUAGCCAUGGAUCUUCAACAAGAAUUGAGCUGUGGUUUUGUUCUAUGUUUGUGCAGAAAUAUGAUGCGCGUAAUUAUAUAAUGGCAGCAGCAGCCAGCUUUUUGAGACGUCUACCAGAGGACGCACACCUGGAGCGCACCUCCACAACAGCGCUGCUAGCUGUCCCUGCCCUUUCAGACAUUUGUGUCUCCUGCUGACACAGUACUCUGCCAUAGUCCUGGCCCCAGCUGUGCUGCAGCCUCCACGUUGGCCUUUAUUCACAUACUGGAGGUGCUGCAGAUUCGAUACCUCCUGUGAAUUUACUGCCAUGAAACUACAGUCUUAUCAAGUUUUCUUUUCCUUUAUUUCACACUUUCUUUUUUAAAAAAAUGGUUUUAAAAUCUCUUGAUUUUCAACAUCAAAUCAUUUUUUAUAUGUUAUAUUGUUGCUUGUUCCUUUUAUGAGCAGCUCACAUCUCCGACAAGCCGUAAGUCAUACUGCUUGAUUUCACCUCUCCUUAUUGAUACAGUGGUGACAUUUCUUUAAAAUGCAGUCUUAGUCCAAAAGCAUUUGAUUGAGGAGGAUUUAAAACCAAACAACCAAACAAAAAACAAAAACAGAGAUAUUACUUCCGUUGCCUAAUAUCUCUGCUUAGCCUGAGAUAACUUUGAUCCCAACUCUUUCAGUUAUUUACUGGACAGAAGCUGAGACGGACUUGCUUCUGCUGCUUUUGGUGUUUAUUUGAUGAGAGACUAGUUUCUUGACAUAGCUACAUGGAGCUUUAAGAAACACUCAAAUUAUCAUUAGAAAGCUGCGUUUUGUUUUUCUCUAAUUUAAAGAACAAGUUACCCGUCUUUCAUGUUUGUCAUCGUCAUAAAAUAAGAGCAAAAGUAGAUAAGUUGCAUAAAUUGAACUCCCUGCGCAUGGCAUCUCCCGAAGAAACCGUAAGGAGCAUUUCCUGAUUCUUUUCUUUCCAGUAUUGAAGAAAAAAAAUGAAAUGAAUUAUGCAGUUUUCCAUCCAUUCUGUCAAAUAACUGAUA